GAUGAACGCUGGCGGCGUGCCUAAUACAUGCAAGUCGAGCGAACAGACGAGGAGCUUGCUCCUCUGACGUUAGCGGCGGACGGGUGAGUAACACGUGGAUAACCUACCUAUAAGUCUGGGAUAACUUCGGGAAACCGGAGCUAAUCCCGGAUAAUAUAUUGAACCGUAUGGUUCAAUAGUGAAAGACGGUUUUGCUGUCACUUAUAGCUGCAUCCCGGCCGCAUUAGCUAGUUGGUAAAGUAAAGGCUUACCAAGGCGACGAUGCGUAGCCGACCUGAGAGAGUGGUCGGCCACACGAGAACGGGGACGCGGACCAGACUCCUACGGGAGGCCGCAGUAGGGAAUCGUACGCAAUGGGCGAAAGCAUGGCGGAGCAAGGCCGCGUGAGUGAUGAAAGUCUUCGGAUCGUGAAGCUCUGUUAUUAGGGAAGAACAAAUGUGGAAGUAACUGUGCACGUCUUGACGGUACCUAGUCAGAAAGCCACGGCUAACUACGUG
rnacentral:rRNA from 1 species